rnacentral:lncRNA from 1 species
AUGUUGACUCCACGGCCGACUGCAGCCUUGAGUGGCCAGCCUGGGCAGGAGGCAAAGAGACGAGUGAGGUGGGCUCCCUGGCCUCCUGGGCCCACUCAUCCUCGGGGGAGACAAGAAUAUGACACUGUGACAUUCUGCACACAAACCCAGAUUUCUGGUUUCCUUUGCCGACUCGGGAGGCCUGUAACCCUGCCUACGUUCCUGCUAGGCCCACCGGCCUCACUGCUCACAGGGGAGGGAGCCGGCUCCACGGGGAUGGCGGGCCUCCCCAGCAGAUGGGGAAACCGAGGCUCAGAGUGGCGUUGUGACCGCCAGAGGCCCCACAGCCGUGCUGCUUCUGCCUCUCCGCCAAGGCUCUCACUGACGUUCCCAGGAGGAGGACACAGUCAGCCCACAUCUUCCUUUUAAGCGGCUUGAAUUUUUUAUGUUAAUUACAGAGAGAAUUCACAUUUAUUAUUGAAAAAUCAGAAAACUCAAGCAAUAAAGUGAGGACAAA